rnacentral:lncRNA from 1 species
CUUUUCCCAUCACUUGGCGUCCGUCGUCCGUCGUCCGUCGUCGUCGUCGUCCGUCGUUAACUUUUACAAAAAUCUUCUCCUCUGAAACUACUGGGCUAAUUUCAACCAAACUUGGUUACAAUCAUCAUUGGGGUUUCUAGUUUAAAAAUUGUGUUUGGUGACCCCGCCAACCAACCAAGAUGGCCGCCAUGGCUAAAAAUAGAACAUGGGGGUAAAAUGCAGUUUUUGGCUUAUAACUCAAAAACCAAAGCAUUUAGAGCAAAUCUGACAUGGGGUAAAAUUGUUUAUCAGGUCAAGAUCUAACUGCCCUGAAAUUUUCAGAUGAAUCGGACAACCCGUUGUUAGGUUGCUGCCCUGAAUUGGUAAUUUUAAGGAAAUUUUUGCUAUUUUUGGUUAUUUUCUUGAAUAUUAUUAUAGAUAGAGAUAAACUGUAAAUAGAAAAAAUGUUUAGCAAAGUAAGAUUUACAAAUAAGUCAACAGGUCCAAAAUGGUCAGUUGACCCCUUUAGGAGUUAUUGUCCUUUAUAGUCAAUUUUUAACCAUUUUUUUCGUAAAUCUUAGUUAUAUUUUACAAAAAUCUUCUCCUCUGAAACUACUGGGCCAAAUAAAAGCAAACUUGGCCACAAUCAUCAUUGGGGUAUCUAGUUUAAAAAAUGUGUCCAGUGACCCAGCCAACCAACCAAGAUGGCCGCCAUGGCUAAAAAUAGAACAUAGGGGUAAAAUGCAGUUUUGGGCUUAUAACUUAAAAACCAAAGCAUUUAGAGCAAAUCUGACAGUGGAAAAAAUUGUUUAUCAAGUCCAGAUCUAUCUGCUCUAAAAUUUUCAGAUGAAUUGGACAACUGGUUGUUAGGUUGCUGCCCCUGAAUUGGUAAUUUUAAGGAAAUUUUGCUGUUUUUUGUUAUUAUCUUGAAUACUAUUAUAGAUAGAGAUAAUCUGUAAACAGCAAUAAUGUUCAGAAAAGUAAGAUUUACAAAUAAGUCAACGUGACUGAAAUGGUCAAUUGACCCCUAAGGAGUUAUUGUCCUUUAUAGUCAAUUUUUUAAAAUUUUCAUAAAAUUUGUAAAUUUUUACUAACAUUUUCCACUGAAACUACUUGGCCAAGUUCAUUAUAGAUAAAGAUAAUUGUAAGCAGCAAGAAUGUUCAGUAAAGUAAGAUGUACAAACACUUCACCAUCACUAAAACACAAUUUUUCAUGAAUCUAUCUGCGUCCUUUGUUUAAUAUUCACAUAUACCAAGGUGAGCGACACAGGCUCUUUAGAGCCUCUAGUUUUUUUUAAAAAACAA